rnacentral:rRNA from 1 species
GAGUUUGAUCUUGGCUCAGAUUGAACGCUGGCGGCAUGCCUUACACAUGCAAGUCGAACGGCAGCAUGAUCUAGCUUGCUAGAUUGAUGGCGAGUGGCGAACGGGUGAGUAAUACAUCGGAACGUGCCCUGUAGUGGGGGAUAACUAGUCGAAAGAUUAGCUAAUACCGCAUACGACCUGAGGGUGAAAGUGGGGGACCGCAAGGCCUCAUGCUAUAGGAGCGGCCGAUGUCUGAUUAGCUAGUUGGUGGGGUAAAGGCCCACCAAGGCGACGGUCAGUAGCUGGUCUGAGAGGACGAUCAGCCACACUGGGACUGAGACACGGCCCAGACUCCUACGGGAGGCAGCAGUGGGGAAUUUUGGACAAUGGGCGAAAGCCUGAUCCAGCAAUGCCGCGUGUGUGAGAAGG